AUACGUAGGGGGCGAGCGUUGUCCGGAAUGAUUGGGCGUAAAGGGCGCGUAGGCGGCGCGGUAAGUCUGGAGUGAAAGUCCUGCUUUCAGGGUGGGAAUUGCUUUGGAUACUGCCGCGCUUGAGUGCAGGAGAGGUUAUCGGAAUUCCCGGUGUAGCGGUGAAAUGCGUAGAGAUCGGGAGGAACACCAGUGGCGAAGGCGGGUAACUGGACUGCAACUGACGCUGAGGCGCGAAAGUGUGGGGAGCAAACAGGAUUAGAUACCCUGGUAGUCCACACUGUAAACGAUGAAUGCUAGGUGUAAGAGGUAUCGACCCCUUUUGUGCCGGAGUCAACACAAUAAGCAUUCCGCCUGGGGAGUACGGCCGCAAGGUUGAAACUCAAAUGAAUUGACGGGG
rnacentral:rRNA from 1 species